CGAAGGAGGACGCGGAGGGACAUUACCGAGUUUACAACUCCCAAACCCCUGUGAACAUACCUUACUGUUGCCUCGGCGGAUCAGCCCGCUCCCGGUAAAACGGGACGGCCCGCCAGAGGACCCCUAAACUCUGUUUCUAUAUGUAACUUCUGAGUAAAACCAUAAAUAAAUCAAAACUUUCAACAACGGAUCUCUUGGUUCUGGCAUCGAUGAAGAACGCAGCAAAAUGCGAUAAGUAAUGUGAAUUGCAAAAUUCAGUGAAUCAUCGAAUCUUUGAACGCACAUUGCGCCCGCCAGUAUUCUGGCGGGCAUGCCUGUUCGAGCGUCAUUUCAACCCUCAAGCCCUCGGGUUUGGUGUUGGGGAUCGGCGAGCCUUUCUGGCAAGCCGGCCCCGAAAUCUAGUGGCGGUCUCGCUGCAGCCUCCAUUGCGUAGUAGUAAAACCCUCGCAACUGGAACGCGGCGCGGCCAAGCCGUUAAACCCCCAACUUCUGAAUGUUGACCUCGGAUCAGGUAGGAAUACCCGCUGAACUUAAGCAUAUCAAUAAGCGGAGGAA
rnacentral:rRNA from 1 species